rnacentral:rRNA from 1 species
AGAGUUUGAUCCUGGCUCAGGAUGAACGCUGGCGGCGUGCCUAACACAUGCAAGUCGAACGAAGCUUGACGGAUGAUUUCUUCGGAAUGAAACCAGAUAUGACUUAGUGGCGGACGGGUGAGUAACACGUGAGCAACCUGCCUUUCAGAGGGGGAUAACGGCUGGAAACGGUCGCUAAUACCGCAUGACGUGUUCGGAUGGCAUCAUCUGAACAUCAAAGAUUUAUCGCUGAAAGAUGGGCUCGCGUCUGAUUAGAUAGUUGGUGGGGUAACGGCCUACCAAGUCGACGAUCAGUAGCCGGACUGAGAGGUUGAACGGCCACAUUGGGACUGAGAUACGGCCCAGACUCCUACGGGAGGCAGCAGUGGGGAAUAUUGCACAAUGGGGGAAACCCUGAUGCAGCAACGCCGCGUGAAGGAUGACGGUUUUCGGAUUGUAAACUUCUUUUCUUAGUGACGAAGACAGUGACGGUAGCUAAGGAAUAAGCAUCGGCUAACUACGUGCCAGCAGCCGCGGUAAUACGUAGGAUGCAAGCGUUAUCCGGAUUUACUGGGUGUAAAGGGAGCGCAGGCGGGACUGCAAGUUGGAUGUGAAAUACCGUGGCUUAACCACGGAACUGCAUCCAAAACUGUAGUUCUUGAGUGAAGUAGAGGCAAGCGGAAUUCCGAGUGUAGCGGUGAAAUGCGUAGAUAUUCGGAGGAACACCAGUGGCGAAGGCGGCUUGCUGGGCUUUAACUGACGCUGAGGCUCGAAAGUGUGGGGAGCAAACAGGAUUAGAUACCCUGGUAGUCCACACUGUAAACG